GAUGAACGCUGGCGGCGUGCCUAAUACAUGCAAGUCGAGCGAACAGACGAGGAGCUUGCUCCUCUGACGUUAGCGGCGGACGGGUGAGUAACACGUGGAUAACCUACCUAUAAGACUGGGAUAACUUCGGGAAACCGGAGCUAAUACCGGAUAAUAUAUUGAACCGCAUGGUUCAAUAGUGAAAGACGGUUUUGCUGUCACUUAUAGAUGGAUCCGCGCCGCAUUAGCUAGUUGGUAAGGUAACGGCUUACCAAGGCAACGAUGCGUAGCCGACCUGAGAGGGUGAUCGGCCACACUGUAACUGAGACACGGCCCAGACUCCUACGGGGGGCCGCAGUAGGGAAUCUUCCGCAAGGGGCGAAAGCCUGACGGAGCAACGCCGCGUGAGUGAGGAAGGUCUUCGGACCUUAAAACUCUUUUAUGAGGGAAGAACAAAUGUGUAAGUAACUAUGCACGUCUUGACGGUACCUAAUAAGAAAGCCACGGCUAACUACGUG
rnacentral:rRNA from 1 species